rnacentral:rRNA from 1 species
AUUGAACGCUGGCGGCAGGCCUAACACAUGCAAGUCGAGCGGUUGAAGCGCCUUUGCUUCUGGAUUCAGCGGCGGACGGCUGAGUAAUGCCUGGGCAUCCGCCUGCUUGUGGUGGAUUACGUCCGGAAACCGGCGGUUAUACCCCAUACCUCCUGGGGGUGAGCGUGGGGGACCUUAGGACCUUCCGCUAUCAGAUGAUCCUAGGUCGGCCUAGCUAGUUGGUGGGGUAAAGGCCUACCAAGGCGACGAUCCGUGACUGGUCUGAGAGGAUGCUCAGUCACACUAGAACGGGAGCAAGGUCCAGACUCCGACGGGAGGCAGCAGAGGGGAAGAUUGGACAGUGGGCGAGAGCCUGAUCCAGCCAUGCCGCGUGUGUGAAGAAGGGCUUGGGAUUGUAAAGCACAUUAAGGUGGGAGGAAGGGCAGUAAGUUAAUACCUUGCUGUUUUGACGUUACCAACAGAGUAAGCACCGGCUAACUUCGUG